rnacentral:rRNA from 1 species
GGAAUAUUGGACAAUGGACGAAAGUCUGAUCCAGCCAUGCCGCGUGAAGGAUUAAGGUCCUCUGGAUUGUAAACUUCUUUUAUAUGGGACGAAAAAAGGGAAUUCUUUCUCACUUGACGGUACCAUGUGAAUAAGCACCGGCUAACUCCGUGCCAGCAGCCGCGGUAAUACGGAGGGUGCAAGCGUUAUCCGGAUUCACUGGGUUUAAAGGGUGCGUAGGCGGGUAGGUAAGUCAGUGGUGAAAUCUCAGAGCUUAACUCUGAAACUGCCAUUGAUACUAUUUAUCUUGAAUAUUGUGGAGGUAAGCGGAAUAUGUCAUGUAGCGGUGAAAUGCUUAGAUAUGACAUAGAACACCCAUUGCGAAGGCAGCUUACUACGCAUAUAUUGACGCUGAGGCACGAAAGCGUGGGGAUCAAACA